rnacentral:rRNA from 1 species
GAUGAACGCUAGCGGCAGGCUUAACACAUGCAAGUCGAGGGGUAACAGGGAAGCUUGCUUCCGCUGACGACCGGCGCACGGGUGCGUAACGCGUAUACAAUCUGCCUUUUGCUGAGGGAUAGCCCCGAGAAAUUGGGAUUAAUACCUCAUAGUAUUAUUGAUUCGCAUGGAUUAAUAAUUAAAGGAUACGGCAAAAGAUGAGUAUGCGUCCUAUUAGCUAGAUGGUGUGGUAACGGCACACCAUGGCUACGAUAGGUAGGGGCCCUGAGAGGGGGAUCCCCCACACUGGUACUGAGACACGGACCAGACUCCUACGGGAGGCAGCAGUGAGGAAUAUUGGACAAUGGAGGGAACUCUGAUCCAGCCAUGCCGCGUGCAGGAAGACUGCCCUAUGGGUUGUAAACUGCUUUUAUACAGGAAGAAUAAGAUCUACGUGUAGAUUGAUGACGGUACUGUAAGAAUAAGGAUCGGCUAACUCCG